ensembl:lncRNA
GUACCACUGGGCUUCUUCCUCUAUCUUCUCAAGUCCAAUUCAUUAGAAGGGAUAUAGUGCAGACUUCUGAACAUACUGUCAUUAUUUGCAUGGAGGAGUGAUGUCCCAUAGAAAUAGAAUCGAGCCAUGCAAAUCUUCUUGGGAAGCCAAAUUAUGAUCAGCCGGUUACUUGGUGAGCAUGGAUUCUGAGCAAGGGAAGCAAGUUGCCUCAUGCAUCCAUCUCCCCAUGGGGAUAUACCUGCUGAUACUCAUGUUUGUGGACCAGGGUUCUCUCUUCCCCUGGACUCUGCCAGUAGUUUCUUCUCCACAUCAGCUGCUGAUUGGCACAUCCAGUAGAUAUGUCAGUACCUUCAGCCUUGUCUCAGCUGAGCCUGCCUGGGCUCCAUCUGCCUGUGUAUGAUCGCUUACUUCUGCUCUGAUCCAUUACAUGUUUCCUAUUGUUUGAGACGCAAAGGAUUAUCUUUUUAUUUACACAUUCUCAAGGGGAGACACUUGAGCGUUGCUCCCAUUUCCUACCUACACAUAUAAUAAACCCAUUGAAAAGUUGUGUUUUGUUAUGUAUAUGUGGGAAUGACCGUCUAUAGCCCUGCUUCUUAAAUAUGACCUAUAUUCCUUGAACAUUGAUUUUCUAGAAAAAUUUGAGCAAACAGUUCAGUAAUUUAGAAGAUCACAUUUAAAAUAAUUCAAUAUUAUGGAACAGAACACAAAAUUCCCAAGAAAUUUUAAGAUAAAGCAGGAGACUUCAAAGAAUUGUUGAGCAUGUGGCAGCCCUUGGGGGCUCUACGCCCAGCACUUCGGUAGCGGGGGACGUCUCUGCUCUGGGGGUUGAGGUCCUUGGAGAGAACAUUUUGGCAAGCCUUCGCUUAACAACAAAUAAUCUGGUUCCUCAUCAAUAUUUGUACUCUGUAAAUGUGAUGGUUUAUAAUGAUCUUCUUUGUAUAAAAGAAGUAAAUAUUUUAUGUCCUUUGCAAAGCUGGGAAAAUAUAUUUGUACCCAAGGUACAGGUUAGAGGUGCUACUAAUUCUUUGAAGAUUCCUAUAAUGGUCUCUUUUUCCAAAAUGCUUUCUUGGCUCUUAAAGCUUUCAAUUUUCUUAAAAAUUUAAAACUUUCACAUCGCAGGUUUACAAUGUUUUCAUGUAUACUUUUUUUAAUGUAUAAAUAUUUUCUUUAAAUCCCCUCCCAAUCAGGAGGGCAUUCCCCUCUUGCUUGGGAAAAAGUCUGCAAUGACCUAUAGCUAAUAUGCAUUUGGUAAUGUUUUUAAAUAAAUGUGCAUAUUAAUCACCGUAGCAUCAGCAUACAUUUGAAACGUAUAGUUGUACAGACAGAUAUGUGUAAGACUUAGUCUGAGCCAUUCCUUGCUUGCUAAGGAUCUGGAGACAACCUGUGUCAUUUGGAAGGUCCCUGAGGCUCCACGGUCUGCAGGUGGAAGGCCGACUACUGGGGGUGAGCUGAUGGGCAUGGCACACCAGUUUCCUCCAUCUUGUCUCCUCUGCUCAGCAUAAAGCUAGCGUAAAUUGGGCCAUCAAUAAAUGUUUGUCAAACAAACUAAUUUGGUAUGAAUGUGUUUCCUUUUUAGUUAUCAGUUUAUCAUUAAGAGAAAUUAUAUUGAAACUAGUCUGUCUAUGGUGAAGUCAUGUGGUAAGCAAUAUCUG